rnacentral:sRNA from 1 species
CCUUAGCCCUGAUGGAAGCGACAUCCUUUUGUGGAGCUUUAGCGGAACAAAAGAUAAGCGGACAGCAGGAACAUGG